AAGGAGUUCAAAGUAAGAGAGAAUCACACAAGCAGUUUAUACUGGUUCACUCUUAAGCCAAGACCUACAUCCAGUCCCCAGAAACCACUAGGUAAACCACUAUGUAAUCAAACCAAAUUACAAAAACACAACACACCAAAGGAGUGACCUUGAACCCCUCAAGAAACACACUACCUUUGGCAAACCACAACAAGAGUAUUGAUCUUCAACACCUCAAGAACACACAACACUCCUUGGCAACACAACACCA
rnacentral:lncRNA from 1 species